GACGAACGCUGGCGGCGUGCCUAAUACAUGCAAGUCGAGCGACCAGACGAGGAGCUUUCUCCUCUGACGUUAGCGGCGGACGGGUGAGUACCACGUGGAUAACCUCCCUUUACGACUGGGAUAACUUCGGGAAACCGGAGCUAAUACCGGAUAAUAUAUUGCACCGCAUGGUUCAAUAGUGAAAGACGGAUUUGCUGUCACUUAUAGAUGGUUCCGAGCCGCAUUAGCUACUUGGUAAGGUAACGGCGUACCAAGGCGACGAUGCGUAGCCGUCCUGAGAGGCUGGUCGGCCACACUGGAGCGGAAGCGAGGUCCAGACGACUACGGAGGGCAGCAGUAGGGAAUCUUCCGGAACAGGAGGAGGCAUGACGGAGCAACGCCGCGUGAGUGAUGAAGGUCUUCGGCUCGUAGUACGCUGUUGUUGGGGAGGAAGAAAGGCGUGAGUAACGGUGCACGUCUUGACGGUGCCGGGUCAGAAAGCCACGGCUAACUACGUG
rnacentral:rRNA from 1 species